UACGGUGGGUGCGAGCGUUGUCCGGAAUCACUGGGCGUAAAGGGCGCGUAGGUGGCGUCGUAAGUCUGUGGUGAAAGCCCGGAGCUCAACUCCGGGUCUGCCGCGGAUACUGCGAGGCUUGAGUGCUGUAGAGGGGGGUAGAAUGCCGGGUGUAGCGGUGGAAUGCGUAGAGAUCCGGCAGAAGACCGGUGGCGAAGGCGGCUUCCUGGUCUGCAACUGACGCUGUGGCGCGAAAGCUAGGGGAGCAAACGGG
rnacentral:rRNA from 1 species